UACGUAGGUGGCGAGCGUUAUCCGGAAUCAUUGGGCGUAAAGAGGGAGCAGGCGGCCGCAAGGGUCUGUGGUGAAAGACCGAAGCUAAACUUCGGUAAGCCAUGGAAACCGGGCGGCUAGAGUGCGGAAGAGGAUCGUGGAAUUCCAUGUGUAGCGGUGAAAUGCAUAGAUAUAUGGAGGAACACCAGUGGCGAAGGCGACGGUCUGGGCCGCAACUGACGCUCAUUCCCGAAAGCGUGGGGAGCAAAUAGG
rnacentral:rRNA from 1 species